rnacentral:rRNA from 1 species
GCCAGCACGUGAUGGUGGGGACUCAUAGGAGACUGCCGGGGUCAACUCGGAGGAAGGUGGGGAUGACGUCAAAUCAUCAUGCCCCUUAUGUCUUGGGCUUCACNCAUGCUACAAUGGCCGGUACAAAGGGCUGCGAAACCGCGAGGUGGAGCGAAUCCCAAAAAACCGGUCUCAGUUCGGAUUGGGGUCUGCAACUCGACCCCAUGAAAUCGGAGUCGCUAGUAAUCGCAGAUCAGCAACGCUGCGGUGAAUACGUUCCCGGGCCUUGUACACACCGCCCGUCAAGUCACGAAAGUCGGUAGCACCCGAAGCCGGUGGCCCAACCCUUGUGGGGGGAGCCGUCGAAGGUGGGACUGGCGAUUGGGACUAANUCGUAACAAGGUAGCCGUACCGGAAGGUGCGGCUGGAUCA